rnacentral:rRNA from 1 species
UCGACGGUACAGGUCUUCGGAUGCUGACGAGUGGCGAACGGGUGAGUAACACAUCGGAACGUGCCUAGUAGUGGGGGAUAACUACUCGAAAGAGUAGCUAAUACCGCAUGAGAUCUAAGGAUGAAAGCAGGGGACCUUCGGGCCUUGCGCUACUAGAGCGGCUGAUGGCAGAUUAGGUAGUUGGUGGGAUAAAAGCUUACCAAGCCGACGAUCUGUAGCUGGUCUGAGAGGACGACCAGCCACACUGGGACUGAGACACGGCCCAGACUCCUACGGGAGGCAGCAGUGGGGAAUUUUGGACAAUGGGCGAAAGCCUGAUCCAGCAAUGCCGCGUGUAGGAUGAAGGCCCUCGGGUUGUAAACUACUUUUGUACGGAACGAAAAGACUCUUUCUAAUAAAGAGGGUCCAUGACGGUACCGUAAGAAUAAGCACCGGCUAACUACGUGCCAGCAGCCGCGGUAAUACGUAGGGUGCAAGCGUUAAUCGGAAUUACUGGGCGUAAAGCGUGCGCAGGCGGUUAUGUAAGACAGAGGUGAAAUCCCCGGGCUCAACCUGGGAACGGCCUUUGUGACUGCAUAGCUAGAGUACGGUAGAGGGGGAUGGAAUUCCGCGUGUAGC